rnacentral:misc_RNA from 1 species
GAUGAAGAACGUAGCAAAAUGCGAUACUUGGUGUGAAUUGCAGAAUCCCGUGAACCAUCGAGUUUUUGAACGCAAGUUGCGCCCGAAGCCUUUUGGCCGAGGGCACGUCUGCCUGGGCGUCACGCAUCGCGUCGCCCCCCACAAUUCUCCGUAAAGGGAACGUGUGUUUUGGGGGCGGAUAUUGGUCUCCCGUGCUCAUGGCGUGGUUGGCCGAAAUAGGAGUCCUUUCGAUGGACGCACGAACUAGUGGUGGUCGUAAAAACCCUCGUCUUUUGUUUCGUGCUGUUGCUCGCAAGGUAAACUCUUUAAAAACCCCAAUGUGUCGUCCCUUGACGACGCUUCGACCGCGACCCCAGGUCAGGCGGGACUACCCGCUGAGUUUAAGCAUAUCAAUAAGCGGAGGA